CUCUGGGGCGGUUCUGAGGCUCUCUGGGCUCCGGUUUCUGUCCUUUUUUCUUUCUUCACUUCUUGGGUGCGGUCCCUGAGGCCCCUCUCUCCCGCCUUUUCCUCAUAGUUUGGUACCAGGGGAGCCAGGUGGUAAAGUUUCCCGUUGUUUGGUUGUUUUGUUUUGUUUUUCUUUCUUAUACCAACUUUUUUAUUUCCAUGAGGCCGCCUAAGGGCACUUGCUGGCUCCCACCAUUAGUCAGCACUCUUGUGGAACAACUGUUCAAGGAAAGCCAGAGGAGAAAGUAACUCCCGUUGUGUACCUAAGAUCCUGUAAAAAGGUCGCAGGUGAAAACCGUUGAGUUUGAGGACACCAAUUUCUACCCUGCUGUUCUCGGCAAGUGCUGCGGCUUGUCGGCUGUUAUCCAUGCACAAUCCUGUAUGGUUUUGCUGUCUAAUAGUGGGUAGGAAGAAAGGAAGAGGAAAUGGAUUACCAGAGUGAGAAUGUGGACAAGACCCUUCCGGUGGCUGUGACUGUCUUCCACAGGAGAGAACAAGUUGGCAUCUUCCUGUGGUCAUUUACCUCAGGAUCCAGAUGCUGGAUACUUAGUAAAUGUUCAGAACUAAGGCCCCCGCCCAGGUGGAGGAUGAUAACUUCAGGCUGAGCACAAGAUUCCUG